rnacentral:rRNA from 1 species
UACGUAGGGUGCGAGCGUUGUCCGGAAUUAUUGGGCGUAAAGGGCUCGUAGGCGGUUUGUCGCGUCGGGAGUGAAAACACCGGGCUUAACUCGGUGCUUGCUUUCGAUACGGGCAGACUAGAGGUAUGCAGGGGAGAACGGAAUUCCUGGUGUAGCGGUGAAAUGCGCAGAUAUCAGGAGGAAUACCGGUGGCGAAGGCGGCAUCCUGGACCGGCAUUGACGCUGAGGAGCGAAAGCCAGGGGAGCAAACGGG